rnacentral:rRNA from 1 species
AGGACGAACGCUGGUCGGCGCGCCUAACACAUGCAAGUCGAACGAGCGAGAGAGAGUUACUUUUUCGAGCGAGUGGCGAACGGGUGAGUAACGCGUGAGGAACCUGCCUCAAAGAGGGGGACAACAGUUGGAAACGACUGCUAAUACCGCAUAAGCCCACGACCCGGCAUCGGGUAGAGGGAAAAGGAGCAAUCCGCUUUGAGAUGGCCUCGCGUCCGAUUAGCUAGUUGGUGAGGUAAAUUGGGCCCACCAAGGCAACGAUCGGUAGCCGGACUGAGAGGUUUGAACGGCCACAUUGGGACUGAGACACGGCCCAGACUCCUACGGGAGGCAGCAGUGGGGAAUAUUGCACAAUGGGGGAAACCCUGAUGCAGCGACGCCGCGUGGAGGAAGAAAGGUCUUCGGAUUGUAAACUCCUGUUGUUGGGGAAGAUAAUGACGGUACCCAACAAGGAAGUGACGGCUAACUACGUG